rnacentral:rRNA from 1 species
AGAGUUUGAUCAUGGCUCAGGAUUAACGCUGGCGGUAUGCCUAACACAUGCAAGUCGAACGGAAUACUAAUUAAGAGAAUCUCACACUAGUGAGAGGUUCUCACGAGUAGUAUUAGUGGCGGACGGGUGAGUAACACGUUGGAACCUGCCCCGAAGUGGGGAAUAACUGCUCGAAAGAGUAGCUAAUACCCCAUAGUAUCCGGUUUAUCCGGAUUAAAGAUUUAUCGCUUCGGGAGGGGCCUGCGUCUGAUUAGCUAGUUGGUGAGGUAAAAGCUCACCAAGGCGACGAUCAGUAGCUGGUUCGAGAGGAUGACCAGCCACACUGGGACUGAGAUACGGCCCAGACUCCUACGGGAGGCAGCAGUGAGGAAUCUUCCACAAUGGGCGCAAGCCUGAUGGAGCAAUACCGCGUGCAGGAAGACGCUUUUCGGAGUGUAAACUGCUUUUGUCGUCGAAGAUUAUGACUGUAGACGAAGAAUAAGGACCGGCUAACUACGUG